rnacentral:rRNA from 1 species
UACGUAGGGGGCAAGCGUUGUUCGGAUUCAUUGGGCGUAAAGGGUGCGUAGGCGGCGCGGUAAGUCGGGGGUGAAAUCUCGGAGCUUAACUCCGAAACUGCAUUCGAUACUGCCGUGCUUGAGGACUGGAGAGGAGACUGGAAUUUACGGUGUAGCGGUGAAAUGCGUAGAUAUCGUAAGGAAGACCAGUGGCGAAGGCGGGUCUCUGGACAGUUCCUGACGCUGAGGCACGAAGGUCAGGGGAGCAAACGGG